rnacentral:snRNA from 1 species
GUACUCGCCUCGGCGGUACAUAAACCAAUAUUGGAACGAUACAGAGAUUAGCAUGGUCCUUGCGCACGGAUGACAUGGAAAAUCGUAAAGCGUUUUACGUUUUU